GAUGAACGCUGGCGGCGUGCCUAACACAUGCAAGUCGAGCGAACCCUUCGGGGUGAGCGGCGGACGGGUGAGUAACGCGUGGGUAACCUGCCCUAUACACACGGAUAACGUACCGAAAGGUACGCUAAUACGAGAUGAUAUAUUUUUAUCGCAUGGUAGAAAUAUCAAAGCUCCGGCGGUAUAGGAUGGACCCGCGUCUGAUUAGCUAGUUGGUGAGGUAACGGCCCACCAAGGCGACGAUCAGUAGCCGGACUGAGAGGUUGACCGGCCACAUUGGGACUGAGAUACGGCCCAAACUCCUACGGGAGGCAGCAGUGGGGAAUAUUGCACAAUGGGCGCAAGCCUGAUGCAGCAACGCCGCGUGAGCGAAGAAGUAUUUCGGUAUGUAAAGCUCUAUCAGCAGGGAAGAAAAUGACGGUACCUGACUAAGAAGCCCCGGCUAACUACGUG
rnacentral:rRNA from 1 species